UUUCCGUAGGUGAACCUGCGGAAGGAUCAUUAUUGUAUAACCGAGGUGCGAGGGCUGUCGCUGAACCGAAAGGUCGUGCACGCCCGAGUGCCCUCACACACAUCCAUCUCACCCCUAUGUGCACCACCGCGUGGGUCCCCCUUUGGCUUGUUCGGAGGGGGGCUUACGUUUUCACACAAACUUUGUAUGCAGUGUAGAAUGUAUUUUUUGUUUUUGCGAUCACGCAAUCAAUACAACUUUCAACAACGGAUCUCUUGGCUCUC
rnacentral:misc_RNA from 1 species